GAUGAACGCUAGCGGCAGGCUUAAUACAUGCAAGUCGAGGGGUAGCAAGAUUGUAGCAAUACAAUUGUUGACGACCGGCAAACGGGUGCGGAACACGUACACAACCUUCCUACAAGUGGGGAAUAGCCCAGCGAAAUUUGGAUUAAUACCCCGUAACAUAGCGAUGUGGCAUCACAUUGCUAUUAUAGCUUCGGCGCUUGUUGAUGGGUGUGCGGCUGAUUAGAUAGUUGGCGGGGUAACGGCCCACCAAGUCUACGAUCAGUAGCUGAUGUGAGAGCAUGAUCAGCCACACGGGAACUGAGACACGGGCCCGACUCCUACGGGAGGCAGCAGUAAGGAAUAUUGGACAAUGGACGCAAGUCUGAUCCAGCCAUGCCGCGUGAAGGAUUAAGGUCCUCUGGAUUGUAAACUUCUUUUAUAAGGGACGAAAAAAGGUCUUUCUAGAUCGUCUGACGGUACCUUAUGAAUAAGCACCGGCUAACUCCGUGCCAGCCGCCGCAGUAAUAC
rnacentral:rRNA from 1 species